rnacentral:lncRNA from 1 species
ACACAGUGAAGGCAAGGCCACUCACGACGUAAACAGCACACUAAGCUCGAUCACCUGCACGUUACCCACGGUCGAGGUAACAUUCAAACAGAAGGGGUGAGAUUUCAUAACAGAAUAGCGUUAAUCAAUGCAAUUAAGAAUCAUAAAUUAACAUCCUAAUCAAUCUUGAUCAUAAUCAUUUUAAACAUAAUCGUCAUUGUAUCCUUAAUAAGCAUUUAUCACGUAAUCACAUAAUCAAUCAUCAUCAACAACAUAACAUUAUCACGUAAUCACAUAAUCAAUCAUCAUCAACAAAGCAUAAUAGACAUGACAAUGUGACAAUGCUCCUAGACUCCGUAUAUGCAUGUGGUACCAAUCGUCAUCAUAAGUAUAAAUAUACUUUAAUCGUGCGGAGGACAAAGCUCCUAAUAAUCGUGCGGAGGACAAAGCUCCUAAUAAAACGUGGUGAGGACUAAGCUCAAUGAUAUGCUAUGCAUGGACUCUUAACAACAAAACAUCGUAAUCAUGUGCAUUCAAUAACUUGAAGCGAAACGUCAUCAUUUUCAUUAUAUUCAUAAAUAAACAUUGCAUACUCAGUUAAAUAACAGCAGCAGCAUAGUCAAGUCACAUAUCAGCAGGGAGAUAUCAAUAUAUCAACAGCAAUUCAAUAGAAUCAUAAUCGUUUCAUUAUAUCUCACAUAUUGCAUAAUACAUUAAUCAUGCUCAAUUAAUAUCAACAUAUCUUAAUAGCUUCACAGACUGCAUUAAACGUUAUCAUAAGGUUUCUUUACCAAUUAGGGGUUCACUCCUGAUCAAAAGGUGCGACACAGAUCGCACAACCACUCAAACAGCUACAUUCUGGACUUGCUCGCGAGGCGAGAGUUCUCACUCGCCAUGGCGAGUACCACUCAAAUUCCCAACUAAUGUUGUUUUGGGUUCAAUCCUGUCCUAAAAUCAUUCCUAAUCAUCUCUAGGUAUGUUUAGGCACUUAAAGGCACUCAAGGUCCAACUAAAAAGUCGAAACUACAAAAUAUGACAUGCACUCUGCCUAAGCUCGCGAGGCGAGGAAGGGUUGCUCGCCAUGGCGAGUUGCACCAAACAACUCGCGAGGCGAAGGGAAAAGGCUCGCGUGGCGAGCGAUGAACUUCAUCACUCGCGAGGCGAGGAUCAUAGCUCGCCGUGGCGAGCGAUGAAUGUCGCUACGGCCAGGCUUCCUAAAAACACAAAAAUCCGUCGAUUCACAUGGUUCUAAGCUUGGUUUUGAUUCCAGAAUUCUUCCUAAACAUAUUCUAAGGUUAAAGGACGGUUCUUUCAUCAAUCUAAACAAGUUUUACCGUUUAUUCUCAAAUUUUAGGGUUUUGACCUAAUUUCAAAACUUCUCUAAAUCAAUCCUAACUUUGUCAACUAAUCAUCAGAAUUACAGAGAUUAAUGUUACUGAGUUAUUAGUCCCACCCUUACCUGGUUAUGAAGAAAUCGCAGCCCUCUUUGGUCUCUUGCUCCUCUCUAAGCUUUUUCUCCCUUUUUCAAAAGUUUUCACGUACAAAGUGUUUUUUCUAAACCUAGGUCUAUUCUUUUAUAUCUCCUCUUAAAAUACUUAUCUUAUCUCACUUUCUCCCCCAAAACUAUCUAAAAUAUCAAAACAGCCCUCAACUAAAUAUUUUAUAUUAUUUUCAAAUCUUUAUUCUAUUUAUCAAUAAAAUAAUUCUCAUAUCAUAAUCAAAUCCUCCAAAACUCAUAACUUAUCACGUCAUCAAUCAAAUCACUAAAUUCACCACAAAUCAUCAAAACAUAUCAAAAUCAUGCAUAUACUAUAUAAUUAUAAUAUAAUGGCCUAAACUCGAUUAAAUAACGAUUAAACGAAAGUGGGCGUUACAACUCUCCCCCACUUAAAAGAUUUUCGUCCUCGAAAAUUUACCUCAAGCAAACAACUCUGGAUAAGACUCCAGCAUCUUACUCUCAAGCUCCCACGUCAAGCUUUCACCAGUCGCUCCCGUCCAAACGACUCUCACGAGAGGUAUCUCCUUGCCUAUCAACGUCUUCACUUUACGAUCAUCAAUCCUCACCGGUAAAG